GCCUUGUUCCGGGAGCCAGCAGAGAGAGGGGGGCCUGCAGGUGGUCGCUGACCUGGCAGGUUAUCAUCCACUUCCCAGGAUUCUCGGCUAUCAUUUCUGUUGUGCCAGGACACAGAUUCUCCAACACACAUAUCAGGCUCCGGGAAGUUUCCGAAGAGGUAUCCAUUGAGGGCUGGAAACAGAAACACGCUAGUGGAAGAGACUCCCCUGCAGAGGCGACUGGGACCAGAAAUGUUGAGAAAACACUCAAUAAAAGUGAAGAUCAGCAUACACUGAGAACAGCCUCGGAGCUGCUGUGGGAACGCAAUAUGAGGUCAGGAGAAAACAGAGUGCUGCUCAUAUUUACAGGAGGCUCAGUCACCUUCUGUCAUAAUCCUUCACUGGCAUAUCUGCUGUCUUCACCAGAUUCUGUGCUCCUUGGAACUAGAAACCCUGUCUUGUUCAUCUUAACAGUUAUCAGGACCUAGCAGAAAAACUGGCACAUAGUAUCUACUUAAUGAAGUGACAAAAGCAUGUAGUAAGAUGGAAAGAAAAGGAAUUGAUUAAAAGGAAUUUAUGAGAACUGUUUUGUUUGUUUGUUUGUUUACUUUAAAAAGCCAAGAGAAAAACAGUUUUUACUACAUGUUGCUGGAGCAGAAUCUUAUUAAGUUUAUGGCGUAAAUCCAGGACCGAAUACUUUAAAACCAUCUA
rnacentral:lncRNA from 10 species